GGAAGGUGCCCAUGGCUCAGUAGCAGAGUAUCUGUUUUGUAUGCAGACGGUCCCAGAUUGAAUCCCUGGUAUCUCCA
rnacentral:tRNA from 1 species